rnacentral:tRNA from 3 species
GGGCCGUUAGCUCAGUGGUAGAGCAACCGCCUUUUAAGCGGUUGGUCGCUGGUUCGAUCCCAGCACGGCCCACCA